rnacentral:lncRNA from 1 species
GUAUAACUACUGGGUAAUCCCUGGAUAUAACCAUUAUCCAAAUCUAUGCCCCAACAGCAGAUGCAGACAAGCAGAGCAUCAUAGAUAAUUUCGAACAUACAUGUAAGUUGGAAUAAGAACAUUACAAAAAUACAUUCUAAAAUAUAAAUAAUUUCCGUUACAGAAUCACACGUGGAGAGCAUCAAAUUUAAAUUUAAGAAAUUUUAAAAAUUUAAAAAAUUUAAAAAAUUACAAAUCACAAACAAAAUUUUUAGUGAUACACCAAACACUGGGUUUAACAUAUAUAUACCAAGGAGAAAGCAUACUGUAAAGACACAUAUACAUAAUUGAACAGAGUGAAUACUAUGAAUAACAUACACUAUAGUAAUGACAAAGAGAAAUUAAAUAUAUGGAAUAAGGUGCCGCGUUAUUCUUGGAAGACAUAGGAUGUGGCGAGUCUGGCGCGAGUAUAACAACGUCCUUAAACCCAAUAUGUAUACCAAGUAUUGGACACAGUCUUGCUAUAAGUUAUGGAUCGCACACCAUUUCCAGGAUUUGGGUAAAUCCAUGGGUGGGUUGUCAUUUAUAAUGUUGGAAUAUGACCUCCUUUUUUCAAUUUCUAUCGCUUCUAGUACGUUGAGCCCAAAGCUGUCAGAUACUGGCCUAACUACUCUAGAAUUGCUCCAGUUGACAACCACAUCAUGUUCAUAUACGUUUCUUGCUAGGGCUGU